UCCUACUUAUCAUAGGCAGUUUCCUUAGAGUUCCCAACUGAAUGAUGGCAACUAAGGACGAGGGUUGCGCUCGUUGCGGGACUUAACCCAACAUCUCACGACACGAGCUGACGACAGCCAUGCAGCACCUGUGUUCCUUCCACCCGAAGUGAAGAAAACCAUCUCUGGAAUUCAAAAAGGACAUGUCAAGGCCUGGUAAGGUUCUUCGCGUUGCCUCGAAUUAAACCACAUGCUCCACCGCUUGUGCGGGUCCCCGUCAAUUUCUUUGAGUUUUAGCCUUGCGGCCGUACUCCCCAGGCGGAAUGCUUAAUGCGUUAGCGACGUCACUGAGGGCUAAGCCCCCAACAACUAGCAUUCAUCGUUUACAGCGUGGACUAC
rnacentral:misc_RNA from 1 species